CCCUCGCGCCCCCGGGCGCGGUGUUGGGGAUCGGCCGCUGCCCCUCGGGGCGGGCCGUCCCUUAAAUCCAGUGGCGGUCACGCUGCGGCAUCCCCUGCGUAGUAGCACAACUCGCACCGGACUGCAGCGCGGCCACGCCGUAAAACAACCCACUCUGAAAUGUUGACCUCGGAUCAGGUAGGGAUACCCGCUGAACUUAA
rnacentral:misc_RNA from 1 species